AUGCCAGGCAACAAAUGCAGCAUAUGCUCAACUGAUCCUCAACUGUUGAGCAAGGCAUCUGUCUGUCAGUUCCUCCAAGGACCCAGUUUCAGACAGUAUUGUGGUUGCUAUCUGCUUGAGCAAGGCCUCAGUCAGGUCUGCAACAGACAGCUGUCAAUCUACUGUCAGAUAAUCAAAGACAUAAAAGCAAUUAGAUAUUGUUGGCUCUGUCCUUACCUACAAGACCUGAGUUCAGGAUGCUCAGAGAACCUAACCUGCAGCUGGAGGAGCUGAAGCUGCUGGAGAAAAUCCAUCUUCUACCAGAGGUCAGUGCCUGUCUAAGUGAGAACCCUAAAACUGCUGGGAGCCCCUGCCCUUUUCUACUGUCAGACAACCACCAAAUCCUGUCUCCACAGCUGGAUGCUGACAGCUCAGAACAGCUGAAUCGCUGCAGAAAGUCUCAGAUGCUGGUGCCCAAGGACUCACCCAUCUGUGCCAUUAGGAGAGGAGAGGAGAGGAGAGGAGAGGAGAGGAGAACAAUUUCCAGAGCCACCACCCAUCAGGAUCUACUACCCACCUCUCCCUCUUUGGUUUUUUUGUAGCUAAGAAUGAAAUGCUUGAUUUUGGAUGCAGCGUGGUUUAUAGACCCAAGACAAUAUUUCACCAUGGAACAAGCAUUUGUAUGGAAUUCAUGCCCUUUGCAUGCAUUUACAGAUGGAGUGAAUAUAACUGUUUCGAGGUUUGCUAUGUUUCAGAAAAUUAAAAAUAUUAUUCCAGGAAAUAAAAUCUACACUCAUACUGGACA
rnacentral:lncRNA from 1 species